AGUGAACGCUGGCGGUAGGCCUAACACAUGCAAGUCGAACGGCAGCACAGUAAGAGCUUGCUCUUACGGGUGGCGAGUGGCGGACGGGUGAGGAAUACAUCGGAAUCUACUUUUUCGUGGGGGAUAACGUAGGGAAACUUACGCUAAUACCGCAUACGACCUACGGGUGAAAGCAGGGGAUCUUCGGACCUUGCGCGAUUGAAUGAGCCGAUGUCGGAUUAGCUAGUUGGCGGGGUAAAGGCCCACCAAGGCGACGAUCCGUAGCUGGUCUGAGAGGAUGAUCAGCCACACUGGAACUGAGACCCGGUCCAGACUCUGACGGGAGGCAGCAGUGGGGAAUAUUGGACAAUGGGCGCAAGCCUGAUCCAGCCAUACCGCGUGGGUGAAGAAGGCCUUCGGGUUGUAAAGCCCUUUUGUUGGGAAAGAAAAGCAGCAGGUUAAUACCCCGCUGUUCUGACGGAACCCAAAGAAUAAGCACCGGCUAACUUCGU
rnacentral:rRNA from 1 species